GAUGAACGCUAGCUACAGGCUUAACACAUGCAAGUCGAGGGGAACCUCUAGAGAAAGCUUGCUUUUCUUUGCGUCGACCGGCGCACGGGUGAGUAACGCGUAUCCAACCUGCCCAUCACUGGGGGAUAACCUUGCGAAAGUAAGACUAAUACCCAAUGACGUCUCUAGAAGACAUCUGAAAGGGAUUAAAGAUUUAUCGGUGAUGGAUGGGGAUGCGUCUGAUUAGCUUGGUGGCGGGGUAACGGCCCAACAAGGCGACGAUCAGUAGGGGUUCUGAGAGGAAGGUCCCCCACAUUGGAACUGAGACACGGUACAAACUCCUACGGGAGGCAGCAGUGAGGAAUAUUGGUCAAUGGACGAGAGUCUGAACCAGCCAAGUAGCGUGCAGGAUGACGGCCCUAUGGGUUGUAAACUGCUUUUAUAAGGGAAUAAAGUGGGAGUCGUGACUCUUUUUGCAUGUACCUUAUGAAUAAGGACCGGCUAAUUCCGUGCCAGCAGCCGCCGUAA
rnacentral:rRNA from 1 species